rnacentral:lncRNA from 1 species
CCAAUUAUCCUCCUGAUCUCAAAGAACGAUCGAGUUUGAUGAUUCACUGAACCACCUCUAGCUCUCUAGAGGCAUGCAACUGCUGUGAGUCGCGGUUGAAGUGACAUCCCGUCUCGAUCCACAUUAGCCACAAAUAUGUUGGGUUGAGUACAAUGAGAAAAGAGCAUGGUUGCAGUUUGGCAUAGCCUGCCAUCUUUGACAAUCAAAUUGCCAUUCCAAAAGGAGGUAGUCUUCCCAUCACACAGUUACACAGUGGGAA